rnacentral:rRNA from 1 species
GACGAACGCUGGCGGCGUGCCUAAUACAUGCAAGUAGAACGCACAGUUUAUACCGUAGCUUGCUACACCAUAGACUGUGAGUUGCGAACGGGUGAGUAACGCGUAGGUAACCUGCCUGGUAGCGGGGGAUAACUAUUGGAAACGAUAGCUAAUACCGCAUAAUAUUAAUUAUUGCAUGAUAAUUAAUUGAAAGGUGCAAUUGCACCACUACCAGAUGGACCUGCGUUGUAUUAGCUAGUAGGUGAGGUAACGGCUCACCUAGGCGACGAUACAUAGCCGACCUGAGAGGGUGAUCGGCCACACUGGGACUGAGACACGGCCCAGACUCCUACGGGAGGCAGCAGUAGGGAAUCUUCGGCAAUGGACGAAAGUCUGACCGAGCAACGCCGCGUGAGUGAAGAAGGUUUUCGGAUCGUAAAGCUCUGUUGUAGGAGAAGAACGGGUGUGAGAGUGGAAAGUUCACACUGUGACGGUAUCUUACCAGAAAGGGCGGU